CGUUGGGCCUAUAGAGAGUCGCAUUUUAUAUAAUUUAGAAUUUAUUCGGGGUAUCUUUGUUAGGUUUUAGCGGUAUUGGUAUUUUCGGGAUUUAGUAAAUGACCAUUCUACCCUUGUAAUGUUUUAAUUGUUUUUUUUAGUGAAAGGGGCAAGAAGGUCUUUUUGCAAGACUUCUUUUGUCCUAUGUUAGCCAUUGUGUUGGCUGUGAGUAAGUUAUUAUUAAGAAAAGAAUAAAAUAAAUAAGAAAAGAAGAAAGGAGUGAGUUAGAGAAAACUUAGCCUUGAAGCUUUCAUGUUCAUCUCUCCCUUUCCCUCUCAUUCGAUCCUUCAAGCCAGCAAGAAGGAGAGUUUUCUUGCUGAAAUCUUUCUAAUCUAAUUGAGUUUUUGAAGUUCCAAUCAAGGGCCCUGUAAAAACGUCGAGCUGCACUUCCACUCAGGCUGACCGGCACACUUGAGCACGGAACGAGGUAAAGGAAAAGCAAAGCUGGAGGAACAGUGAGGCGGGACUCGGCAUGAUUGUACAUAUCGCGGCAGUGCAACCUGGAGGGUUUCGGUUUACUAGUAUUUUGGAGUCUGUAUUUUGAGGAUGCUUGUCCGCUAAACUUUUAAAAAAAAAAUAAUAUAUAUGUACAUAUUAGUAAAAUACUUUUAACUUGUAUUUUGAUACUCGGGAUCCCGAUCCAUAUGAUUAUUAAUAUAUUAAUCAUUAAAAUUA